UUUUACGUUCCCCGCCUUUGUACACACCGCCCGUCGCUACUACCGAUUGAAUGGCUCAGUGAGGCGUCCGGACUGGCCCAGAGAGGCGGGCAACUGCCACUCAGGGCCGGAAAGCUCUCCAAACUCGGUCAUUUAGAGGAAGUAAAAGUCGUAACAAGGUCUCCGUUGGUGAACCAGCGGAGGGAUCAUUA
rnacentral:rRNA from 1 species